GACGAACGCUGGCGGCGUGCUUAACACAUGCAAGUCGAACGGAGUGGCGAACGGGUGAGUAUUACGUGAGUAACCUGCCCUCAACUGUGGGAUAAGCCUGGGAACCUGGGUCUAAUACUGCAUAGUUGGGGAUGGGCUCGCGGCCUAUCAGCUUGUGGGUGGGGGGAUGGCUUACCAAGGCGGUGACGGGUAGCCGGCCUGAGAGGGUGGGCGGCAACAUUGGGACUGAGAUCCGGCCCAGAGUACUACGGGAGGCAGCAGUGGGGGAUAUUGCUCAAUGAGCGCAAGCCUGAUGCAGCGACGCCGCGUGAGGGAUGAAGGCUUUCGGGUUGUAAACCUCUUGCGUUACAGAACGGGUAUGUGCAGAAGAAGCGCCGGCUAACUACGUGCCAGCAGCCGCGGUAAUUC
rnacentral:rRNA from 1 species